GUGCGCAUAACAGUUCUUGCAAACAAGUCACAUAGCCUUAAAGAGAGUAAAACGGGGGUGAUUUGGGAAACAAACACCAAGCAGGCUUCAUCUUCUUAGCUGAAGCACCGCAUUCCACUUUUUUUUUUUUCAUCACUCUUUGCUUCUUGAACUUGGGGCAUGGCUUUCUAUGAUGCAUGCACGAUCGAAGCUUGUUCUUAGGAACUCUGUCCAUGUUACACAGACUCAUAAAACAGGUAGCAGAGGAAGCACUCUGCCAAAUCUAAAGGACGAUUAUCAGUAGCAACAAUCGAUGCAAUCUCUACCAGGAGAUUUAACCCUCCAGACCUUCAAAAUCACCCAACAUUCUUCUUUUUCUUCUUCUUCUUGUCGAUUGCUUUGCUGCGGCUGGCUACUGCGCCUCCUUUAAACAUCAACCGACCUCCGGUCACUCUCUCGUAUGGGUCCGACAUGGAUCCUUGCCGUGGAUGCUUUUGUUCUCUGUUUUCUCGCAGCUACGAGCUUAAA
rnacentral:misc_RNA from 1 species